rnacentral:rRNA from 1 species
UACGGAGGGGGCUAGCGUUGUUCGGAAUUACUGGGCGUAAAGGGCGCGUAGGCGGUGCGAUAAGUCAGGCGUGAAAGGCCCGGGCUCAACCCGGGGACUGCGCUUGAUACUGUUGCGCUGUGAGUCCGGGAGAGGAUGGCGGAAUUCCCAGUGUAGAGGUGAAAUUCGUAGAUAUUGGGAAGAACACCGGUGGCGAAGGCGGCCAUCUGGACCGGCACUGACGCUGAGGCGCGAAAGCGUGGGGA